CACGGGGGGAGCAAGCGUUGUUCGGAAUCACUGGGCGUAAAGGGCGUGUAGGCGGUCAGGUAAGUGGGAUGUGAAAUCCCUCGGCUCACCCGAGGACCGGCAUCUCAUACUGCUUGGCUUGAGUACGGGAGAGGAUGUGGGAAUUCCUGGUGUAGCGGUGAAAUGCGUAGAUAUCAGGAGGAACACCGGUGGCGAAGGCGCACAUCUGGCCCGAUACUGACGCUGAGGCGCGAAAGCUAGGGGAGCAAAC
rnacentral:rRNA from 1 species